rnacentral:rRNA from 1 species
AGUGAACGCUGGCGGUAGGCCUAGCACAUGCAAGUCGAACGGCAGCACAGUAAGAGCUUGCUCUUACGGGUGGCGAGUGGCGGACGGGUGAGGAAUACAUCGGAAUCUACUUUUUCGUGGGGGAUAACGUAGGGAAACUUACGCUAAUACCGCAUACGACCUACGGGUGAAAGCAGUGGAUCUUCGCACCUUGCGCGAUUGAAUGAGCCGAUGUCGGAUUAGCUAGUUGGCUAGGUAAAGGCCCACCAAGGCGACGAUCCGUAGCUGGUCUGAGAGGAUGAUCAGCCACACUGGAACUGAGACACGGUCCAGACUCCUACGGGAGGCAGCAGUGGGGAAUAUUGGACAAUGGGCGCAAGCCUGAUCCAGCCAUACCGCGUGGGUGAAGAAGGCCUUCGGGUUGUAAAGCCCUUUUGUUGGGAAAGAAAAGAAGCAGGUUAAAACCCCGCUGUUCUGACGGUACCCAAAGAAUAAGCAACGGCUAACUUCGUG